GAUGAACGCUAGCGGCAGGCUUAAUACAUGCAAGUCGUGGGGCAGCACAAAUAGCAAUAUUGGGUGGCGACCGGCAAACGGGUGCGUAACACGUACGCAACCUUCCCGUUACUGGGGAAUAGCCCAGGGAAACUUGGAUUAAUACCCCAUAUUAUAUAGAUCAGGCAUCUGGUUUAUAUCAAAGCUUCGGCGGUAACGGAUGGGCGUGCGGUUGAUUAGGUAGUUGGCGGGGUAACGGCCCACCAAGCCUACGAUCAAUAGCUGAUGUGAGAGCAUGAUCAGCCAAACGGGCACUGAGACACGGGCCCGACUCCUACGGGAGGCAGCAGUAAGGAAUAUUGGGCAAUGGACGAAAGUCUGACCCAGCCAUGCCGCGUGAAGGAUGAAGGUCCUCUGGAUUGUAAACUUCUUUUAUCUGGGGCGAAAAUCGGGUAUUCUUAUCCGCUUGACAGUACCAGAGGAAUAAGCACCGGCUAACUCCGUGCCAGCCGCCGCCGUAACAC
rnacentral:rRNA from 1 species